AUUGAACGCUGGCGGCAGGCCUAACACAUGCAAGUCGAGCGGAUGAAGGGAGCUUGCUCCUGGAUUCAGCGGCGGACGGGUGAGUAAUGCCUAGGAAUCUGCCUGGUAGUGGGGGAUAACGUCCGGAAACGGGCGCUAAUACCGCAUACGUCCUGAGGGAGAAAGUGGGGGAUCUUCGGACCUCACGCUAUCAGAUGAGCCUAGGUCGGAUUAGCUAGUUGGUGGGGUAAAGGCCUACCAAGGCGACGAUCCGUAACUGGUCUGAGAGGAUGAUCAGUCACACUGGAACUGAGACACGGUCCAGACUCCUACGGGAGGCAGCAGUGGGGAAUAUUGGACAAUGGGCGAAAGCCUGAUCCAGCCAUGCCGCGUAUGUGAAGAAGGUCUUCGGAUUGUAAAGCACUUUAAGUUGGGAGGAAGGUCAGUAAGUUAAUACCUUGCUGUUUUGACGUUACCAACAGAAUAAGCACCGGCUAACUUCGUG
rnacentral:rRNA from 1 species